UACAGAGGGGGCAAGCGUUGUUCGGAAUUACUGGGCGUAAAGGGCGCGUAGGCGGCCUCCUAAGUCGAACGUGAAAUCCCCGGGCUCAACCCGGGAACUGCGUCCGAUACUGGAAGGCUUGAAUCCGGGAGAGGGAUGCGGAAUUCCAGGUGUAGCGGUGAAAUGCGUAGAUAUCUGGAGGAACACCGGUGGCGAAGGCGGCAUCCUGGACCGGUAUUGACGCUGAGGCGCGAAAGCCAGGGGAGCAAACGGG
rnacentral:rRNA from 1 species